rnacentral:sRNA from 1 species
GACAGAUGGCAUUGUCAACCAAUCCCCAAGUGGGAGUGAGGACAUGUCCUGCAAUUCUGAAGGGAUUCUCUGUCACUUGGCUCUUCUCUUUCAUAUACUCAGUCACUUGACUCUGUGAUCAGAGCCAAAUCCAGGGUUGUAUGAGUGAUGCAAUGAGACAGAGACAAAGCCCAGGAAAUGGGUCUGACCGUUGAAUGAGAGUGUUUGCUAAGUCUGAGAAUGACAAACUCCUCCCUCUCAGGGGCACCACCACGAGGCGAUUUGUGGGCCAUACCAAGGAUGUGCUGAGUGUGGCCUUCUCCUCUGACAACCGGCAGAUUGUCUCUGGAUCUCGAGAUAAAACCAUCAAGCUAUGGAAUACCCUGGGUGUGUGCAAAUACACUGUCCAGGCUGGAGUGCAGUAGUGCGAUCUCGGCUCACUGCAAGCUCUGCCUCCCGGGUUCACGCCAUUCUCCUGCCUCAGCCUCCCGAGUCGCUGGGACUACAGGCGCCUGCCAUCAGGAUGAGAGCCACUCAGAGUGGGUGUCUUGUGUCCGCUUCUCGCCCAACAGCAGCAACCCUAUCAUCGUCUCCUGUGGCUGGGACAAGCUGGUCAAGGUAUGGAACCUGGCUAACUGCAAGCUGAAGACCAACCACAUUGGCCACACAGGCUAUCUGAACACGGUGACUGUCUCUCCAGAUGGAUCCCUCUGUGCUUCUGGAGGC